ACACACACUGUGAGAACAUGCGCGCAGUAAAAUGAGGGCAGAAAAAGAGGCCUGUAAUGCCUGAUCAACAAGCCUACCUGGAAGAGAAAAUUGCUCCAAGCAGCAUCCAUUUUGCGCCACAGCGAUGGAGAUUAUAAAGUCCUGAUUGAGAUCGGGCAGGGCUGCCUUUGCAUGGUUUUGAUCGGCCCACCGGAGAUCGAGGCGCACACAGUCGCCUGUUCUGCAGCAGAAACCACGGGCUUCUGGAUUUGCGUGAAAAACGCCAAUCGGGUGUUUGUCGAAGCCUCGCUGUUGGUUCACGCUCUGACCCCGGAGAGAGGCGCUCUCGGCCGGCCGCAGCCUAUCGCUCCACCUCGGCCGCUCAGCUGCGAGGAUGUCAUCUUUCUUUUUUUAUCGCCCGCUCUCCCUCCUCCCUCCCUGUCUCUUUCUUCCUUUUCUUUUUUAAUUCCUCUUUCUUCUCCCCCUCCUCUCCUUUUCUCGCACCGCUAUGUCCCACUUGCUCUUAAAGGGAGAGGGUUUUCCUCUUUGGACACCCCCCUCUCAUUUCCGUCCUCUCCCCUUCCCUUCCUGGUGUUUUGUCGGCCGACACUAAAUGUAGAUCUCCUGCAGAAAACAGGCUGAAUGACUUUCCAUUAACGGAGCGAUGACAGACGCAUCUUAAAGGGAGGUGCACAGAUCCUCCCCUUCGUCCUGUAAUAAUGAUGUCAGAGUCAGAUAUGGUACACAGGGCGAAUAGCAGCUCAGCAUGCACACAAUGGAUGAGCGUAAUCGUUCAUAAAAACAGCUGGUUAGGAAAAUAUAUAUACAAAUACAUAUUGUGCAUAACAUGGUAUUCUUAGCCUAUAUGCACACUUCCAAAUCUUUAUAAAAAAACCCCACAAUGCUUACUGGAUUAGUCAAUAAUAAUAAUAAUAAUAAUAAUGAAAAAAACAAUUAUUAAUAAGGGUAUCAUCUCGAUAUCAACUUGCAAACUUCCCCUUUAAAUCCAACUGUUUAUCCUAACACUUAAAUUAUCAUGAUUUUAAGUUACACAUUUACCAUUUACAGACUCUUAAAUGUGAAUAUGAGUGGAAUUUUUACGAUUGCAAAUGUAAAAAAUGUUCUUUUAUUCGAAGUCCAGGAGUCGCGGAAUUGGACAAAUAUGGUCCGUCCAGAAACAGUGAAUUAUCUUUUAAUGUUCCGUUUCAAUAUAUUGAUUAUUUCUUACACAAACCAACAUAUUUGGGAGAUUUACAAUUAUUGGGAAAAAAUAACACACUUGAUUGUAAACAUGGGCUUUGGGACAUUGAAAUGCUAUUUUUCUAUUGUCUCUAUCAUCAUUUUUGUCGUUAAAAUUGAUGAAAAAAAAUCAAAGCCAAAGUUGACAUCUUCAAACAUAAAAAACUGAAUAUAUUAAAGUUGAAAAUCCUGCUAUGUAAAAUACUAAAGAAGCCAAAAAGUAAAAUUUGUUCUUUAAUGUUCUGCUUCUGACCGUUCAGUUUCAACCUUGUAAUAAACAUCUUAAUAAAUGACGUCUUCCCAUUAAAACAUAUCAA